UACGUAGGUGGCAAGCGUUAUCCGGAUUUACUGGGUGUAAAGGGCGUGUAGGCGGGAAAGCAAGUCAGAUGUGAAAACCACGGGCUCAACCUGUGGCCUGCAUUUGAAACUGUUUUUCUUGAGUACUGGAGAGGCAGACGGAAUUCCUAGUGUAGCGGUGAAAUGCGUAGAUAUUAGGAGGAACACCAGUGGCGAAGGCGGUCUGCUGGACAGCAACUGACGCUGAGGCGCGAAAGCGUGGGGAGCAAGCAGG
rnacentral:rRNA from 1 species